AAAUUAAUCUCAGAUGAAAUUAUAAUAGAUUUGCUGUCCAAGCGACUUGAAGCUGGAGAAGCUAAGGGUGAAGCAGGAUUUAUUCUUGAUGGAUUUCCUCGAACUAUACAUCAGGCGGUGAGCCAGUUAUUUUGUAAUAACUUGCAAAGAUACAUUAACCUAUGUCGUUGCUGGAUAAACAUCUCCAAUAGGGUUAACUUUCUAAUCUGAAUGAAAUCCUUUUCUUAUAAUACUUCUUAUUUAUAUGUGUAUUGUUAACAUUUAUGUUUACAAGCGUGAACUGGGUUAAGAUCUCGUACAUCUAUCUCCGAAUGAAAUCCUUUUCUUAUGAUACUUCUUAUUUAUAUGUGUAUUGUUAACAUUUAUGUUUACAAGCGUUAACUGGGUUAAGAUCUCGUACAGCUAUCUACUUUUAAUAGGCCAUACUUUCUUUUCACUGUUUGGCAUCUGGCACACAGAGGCUUGCAUAGAGGAAAUGUAUGAAUGUUCUAUAUAGGCAAGGGUGUGUUACUGUAACAGGUUAAUGGUUAUGGCUGAACCUGGAACAUUGCUUCUCAGACCAAAGUUGAAUCUGCUGUUGGACGAAAUGAACGAAUAAAGUACAAAAGUUGGAAAGUAACAAGAAAGCUUGAUAUGGUAUUUUUCAAUAGGGUGAAAUUUUAAAGAAUGAAGCUCUUUGAAGUUGGGUAAUUGGAUUCCAAACUAGAGUAGAAUGUAAAUGGUGCUUGAUCUUACAUGAAAUAUGUUAUUCUUUAUAUUUUAUGUCUAAGUUUCUGCAAAGAGCAAAACUCUGAACUAUAUAAGCUUUUUGCAGUCAUUUUAACCAGUGCUUAUUGCUCUUAUAGAUGAAAAUUAUGGAGAUAAGAGCAAAUAUCUGUGUUAAGCAUAUCUUAUUAGUUGUUUCUUAGAUUCUUCUAGUGAAACCUGAUCUCUGGACGAGGGUCCUUGCAACACAUUUUCACAAGUUAUUAUAUUUCAAUUUUAUGUAAUUAAUUAUCAAUAUUUGUGGCUUGUUUGAGCAAACAUGUAUAUCAUCUUAUAUGUUCUCUUAAUUGCUACUACGAACUUCUAGAGCUUGCUUCUUAUUCUUAUGUCGUCAUGUAAGUAAUGUCCUUAAAAAGUUUAACUUUGUGCAUAUCAGAUUUUUUCAUUACUGUUAGUCUUUAUAAUGCAUUAACCUCUUCUCAGAGCUGCCGAAUUAAAGGCUUCAAUUAGUUCUCAUAUUUCAUUCACAACUGCCUUAUACUUUUCUACCUUCUUAACGUCAAGCCUAUAAUUGUGACUAUUAAGAUUGUUUCACUGGCAUAAAAAUUUUCUGUGACUAUUCUUACUAAUUAUGCGCAUUAGCUGGUUAUUUUGGUAACUUUAUAGAAUUAAUAAUUUGUCCUCCGGGCCUAGAGAACUAUUUUCUUGUAAUAAGGAUGUCAUAAACAGCAUUGAGGAUAUGUUCCAGUUCUCGUUUUCUCUUUAAGAAAAUAUAGCCUUUCAGUCAUGGUUUUAUUCUCUGUUUCUCCACUUUGUAUGAGACAAAGGCCAAAUAUAAUCUCAGAACUAAACGCCCUUGCGUUAGUGCAAUUAUGGACAUUGAGCACUUUUAGAACUGUCAGUUGGCACCAAUAUUAACUAGUUUGGGCGCCUUUUGUUGGAUUUAAUAGCUUGGUGGUUGAAUGAUUGCAUUUUCUGUUAGGAUUAUGUGUCAGUUUUAAAAGGCUUACUGUUUCAUGUUACUGAUUAAAAGAGUUACACCUUUAGGGUUUUAUGUCUUUGUUUUGAUUAGAGUCUAAACUGCCGUAUUUGGUAGAACUUUGCUAUUGGUGCUUAACCCAUCUUCUAUUUCUUUGUUGCUUUAUUUAUUAUUAUGUUAUCUGUGACUGACUGCUGCACCAAUAUUUGUGGGAUUAGAACAAUUUCAAGAUUAUUGGAGUUGUCAUUAGCUUCAUAACAAGGGAACAACUUAUCAGAAGGUAGAGGGAUGAACUAAUUGAGGAUGUAGUCAACUGGCUGCUAUUAGAGCUGCAAAGCAGUAUGGUGCGCUGUCAUAUUUGUUGGCUGCUGUACUUGAAUCUGUUGAGAGAAAUUCUUGGAUAUUUUUCAUGUCCCAUAACUAAACAUGUCAACUCGCGCAAAUGAAGAUAAACAGAAUCUUUUAAGUAUGGAUAUGUUGAGAGAUUCUAAUUCAGAUAUCGGGGUGAAAGCUGCAUCUUUGUCAAGUUUCUGGAUUUUAGGUACUUGUUAUAAACCCCUCUCCCUUCUUCACUAUUGAAAUAAGGUAGAGGUAGGACCAGAGCAUGGUUAUCUUUUGGCAUUCUUUUAUGCGAAGUCAACUCGAUGUCUUCACUAAUGAUAUAAGGUUUGCUGUACUAGGGCUGCUUGCUGGAGUCUCUUCACCAGUUUAGAAGAACUCAUUGCAGGUCCAAGCAAGAUGAUGGUUUCAGCUGACUUUUAAGUUCCCAACUGUUUUGGGUUUGAUUAACUUUGUUUGUUUAAUGUAGUAUUACCAAUACUAGCAAAGUGGGGGUUUCCUUAUGUGUUUGAAGCUGUUGUUUUCUGUUAGUCUGAGAGUAAAAGCAGCAAUAGAAAAUUCUUCUUGGUUAAAGUUUUCUUCAUGAGUUUAUGUUUUUUUUAAAUGUCUUCCUGAGUUUAUGUUUAGUCAGUCCUUAUCCCUUAUUGCUUUAUUGGUCAGUAAUUUCCCCUUUCCUUUCUUUACCAUGAGUCUCAAGCUAUGUUGCUCUGAGUCUUCAAAAUCCUCGCCACACCCGUGUCGACACGACAUGGGUGUGAGUGUAGGAUCCAUACUGGAUUUGGUCAACUUACCUUAGGUGCUUUGACUACAUAAUCGAGAAGUAUAGAUUGAUUGGGUAUUGGUUUGAUUUUUGGGUAUAUAUAUAUAUAAAUAUGUAAAUGAAAGUGUUUAUAAAGAAUUAAAUUUUAUUAGUUUGAGUUCAAAUGUUCAAUAACUUUAAUUUAUCGAUACAUAUACUUAUAUGUCGUAAUAUGCAUUUAUUGGCCAUAUUCCCGCGCCUGUAUCCAGCACUUGGAUCCAUACUUUGAAUCCUAAAAGUUAUGUGAUGAAGAAUCCGACCUCUAGAUCUGUGCCCGUAUCAGAUACGCAUACCCGAGUCCGAACAACAUAGGUCUGAAGUGAGAGCAACUUUGUUGUACCCAGACUUCACUAUCUUCUCCAUGAGAGAUACAUUCUCAAUUCUUAAACCUGUUCAUUUUCUGUUUUUUCUCAAACAUGUAUGUGUGUCUCACUGUCAGUAUUGUGAACUGAGAUUACUUGAUCACUUGGUUUUUUUCCAAAAUCAACUUGCUCAUUGGAUAAACAAACAUCUCAUGUUCAGAGCGAGCUUGGAGGUUGAAUCCCCAGGCUGCCUGUUCUAUUCCAUUUCAAUCGACUACUGCAUAUAAAUGUAACUAUGUGAAAAGUGUGUGUUGCUUAUAUACUAUAUGCAUAUACGCAGUCAUUGAUGUACUUCUUAAUCGUUCCAGCUCUUGUUAUUUUCACCCUGUUCAGAAGUUUGUGUCAUAUGUCAAUCGACCCUUUCUCUCGCAAAUUAUGCGUGGACCACCAUAACUGUUCACUUACUAGUAAAACCCCAGGCUCUGAAGUCUUAAAUGUCAGAGUAAAAUUAGGAUGCUGGGACCAGGAGAUAUGUCUGUCGGCUCCUCUCUUCUUUUCUGUUCUGCAGUUCAUCUCGUUUUCAAAUUCGACAUCUCGUGUCUCGUUGAUAAACAUUCUUGAUCAUUGACUACUUGUACCUGGUAUGGCAGAUGUCAGCAUUGUUCUUAUGACACUCUACCAUUUCCCUUUCAAAAUAUGUGUAAACUACGAUCCACUAUUUUGCGGUGAUGUUGGGGUUGACUUGACUGUUUUGGUGAGUCAAUGGGUGGAUAAAUAUUAUUUCCUGGUGUGUAAAGACAAAAACUGAGUUAUGUUUGCGCCCUGCAUGUUGUCAAUGGGCAACACUUCCAAAUAUGCCUGUGCUUUCAAGAUAUAUGUAAACUAUGAUCCACUAUUUUGCGGUGAUGUUGGGGUAGACUUGACUGUUUUGGUGAGUCAAUGGGUAGAUAAAUAUUAUUUCUUGGCGUGUAAAGACCAAAACUGAGUUAUGUUUGCGCCCUGCAUGCUGUCAAUGGGCAAUAGUUCCAAAUAUGCCUGUGCUUUCUGGAUGUUUCAUCGAUAAGCCUCAAGUUGAGUCUAGAUGGUCAGUCUGGCCUAGCCUCACCUCUGAUCAUUGUCCUAGGAUUAUCUUCUCUUUUCUUGUUCUUGGGACCAAAAGCUCCUAACAGAAGCAUUAAUAUGACUUUGUCGGAGCUGCAGCCCCUUCUUUUCUUCCCGGCUGUAUGUCUCUUCUAUUGCUUGCUUUUUCCAGAUUAAUAAUAGUCAACUACAUGUAGUGUCAUAGACUUGUAUAUCUUCUCAAUUUCUUUCAUCUUGAUGCUUAGAUCUGGACCCAUCACUCUCUGGAAUUUUGUUAUUUUUGGCCAAAGCUCCUGAGGUCGCCGGUCAUAUCUUUGUUGCCACCAGAAUUUGUGAGUGCUUUUGAAAUUUUGUCAACAAACUGGAUCCAAUGAGCAAAAGCUGAAUUUUUAUCGUCAAGUGUUCAAGCAAGGCUAUUUUUAUAUUCUGGACCUUGUUGACUUCACCUACCACUUUGACAUAGCACCUUUUCCCUUGUAAAUUUGUUUUUUUAGUUCAGUCAGACCUUGUUUUACAAUUGAAGCGCUCUGCAGUCCUUGGUUCCUAUAGUUGGAGGUUCUGUUUCUUCUAUUAUUGGACCUAGAGAUGAAACAGAUCUGAUCUGUCUAAAGGUCCAAGCCAAGAAUUAUCAGCAGUGAAAUCUUAGAGGGAGUAACGGACAUCGACUUGGUGAUUAAUUUGAAGCUCCGGGAAGAUGCAUUGAUUGCUAAGUGCUUAGGAAGAAGGAUUUGUAGCGAGUGUGGAGGUAAUUACAAUGUUGCAUGCAUUGAUAUCAAGGGUGAUGGCGACAAAACUAGAAUGUACAUGCCUCCCCUACUCCCUCCUCCGCAUUGUGAAAACAAACUUAUUACGCGGUCUGAUGACACUGAAGAUGUUGUGAAGGAACGCCUCCGCAUCUACCAUGAAACGAGCCGACCAGUGGAGGACUUUUAUCGCAGGCGGGGUAAGCUGUUGGAGUUUGAUCUCCCUGGAGGGAUUCCAGAGUCGUGGCCAAAGUUACUUCAGGCUUUGAAUAUCUAUGACGAUGAGGAUAAGAAGUCUGCAGCAGCAUGAUAUUAUUUGUCUUGUCAGUAGUUGUACUAGUGUUAUAGGUUCAUUCUUUUCAUGCAUGUUGGAAAUGCGUGGGCCUUCAUUCUAUUUAAAAGCAGGAUAACGGGGUUCUCCAUCCCUUCUCUUUCUCCCUCACAGUUGUAUAAUUGUAUUAUGCUAAGGCAACUGUAACAGUUGUAUGAUAUUUCUUGCAAGUUUCUUGUCGAUAAAGGUCACCGGAGCUGUAUAUUUACCUUGGUGCGUCAUGUGAUAGUGGAUGCAUUUAGUGUUAGACUGGAGAGAAAAUAGUUUUUGCGUGUUCCGUCAUAUCAUAUCUAUGUGUGCUAGAACUAUGCUGCUACCUUUGGACGUACUGGCAAGUUGUUCUGAGAUGCCUACCAACGGGUCUUUGUUAAA